rnacentral:rRNA from 1 species
GAUGAACGCUGGCGGCGUGCCUAAUACAUGCAAGUCGAGCGAACAGACGAGGAGCUUGCUCCUCUGACGUUAGCGGCGGACGGGUGAGUAACACGUGGAUAACCUACCUAUAAGACUGGGAUAACUUCGGGAAACCGGAGCUAAUACCGGAUAAUAUAUUGAACCGCAUGGUUCAAUAGUGAAAGACGGUUUUGCUGUCACUUAUAGAUUGGUCCGCGCCGCAUUCGCUAGUUGGUAAGGUAACGGCUUACCAAGGCGACGAUGCAGAGCCGACCUGAGAGGAUGAUCAGACACACUGGGACUGAGACACGGACCAGACUCGUAAGGGAGGAAGCAGUGGGGAAUCUUAGACAAUGGGGUGAACCAUGAUCGAGUCAUGACGCGUGAGUGAUGAAGGACUUAGGGUUGUAAAGCUCUUUCAGCUGGGAAGAUAAUGACGGUACCGGAAGAAGAAGCACCGGCUAACUACGUG